GUGGGGAAUUUUGCGCAAUGGGGGAAACCCUGACGCAGCAACGCCGCGUGCGGGACGACGGCCCUCGGGUUGUAAACCGCUUUCAGUGGGGACGAUGGUGACGGUACCCACAGAAGAAGCUCCGGCUAACUACGUGCCAGCAGCCGCGGUAAUACGUAGGGAGCGAGCGUUAUCCGGAUUCAUUGGGCGUAAAGCGCGCGUAGGCGGCUGCCUAAGCGGAACCUCUAAUCCCGGGGCUCAACCUCGGGCCGGGUUCCGAACUGGGCGGCUCGAGUGCGGUAGAGGCAGGCGGAAUUCCCGGUGUAGCGGUGGAAUGCGCAGAUAUCGGGAAGAACACCGAUGGCGAAGGCAGCCUGCUGGGCCGUCACUGACGCUGAGGCGCGAAAGCUGGGGGAGCGAACAGG
rnacentral:rRNA from 1 species